rnacentral:rRNA from 1 species
GACGAACGCUGGCGGCGUGCUUAACACAUGCAAGUCGAACGAUGAAGCCGCAGCUUGCUGUGGUGGAUUAGUGGCGAACGGGUGAGUAACACGUGAGUAACCUGCCCUUCACUCUGGGAUAAGCCUUGGAAACGGGGUCUAAUACUGGAUAUUCAUUCAUGAUCGCAUGGUUGUGGGUGGAAAGAUUUUUUGGUGGGGGAUGGACUCGCGGCCUAUCAGCUUGUUGGUGAGGUAGUGGCUUACCAAGGCUUUGACGGGUAGCCGGCCUGAGAGGGUGACCGGCCACACUGGGACUGAGACACGGCCCAGACUCCUACGGGAGGCAGCAGUGGGGAAUAUUGCGCAAUGGGCGAAAGCCUGAUGCAGCGACGCCGCGUGAGGGAUGACGGCCUUCGGGUUGUAAACCUCUUUCACCAGGGACGAAGCGGAAGUGACGGUACCUGGAGAAGAAGCACCGGCUAACUACGUGCCAGCCGCCGCCGUAAGAC